rnacentral:lncRNA from 1 species
UUGGCGUUUCAAUUUUUCCAAUUCUUCUUUUACUAGAUUUUUUGUCUCCACAAGUCAUUGUUUGACUGAUUGUUUCCUCAAACUAACCAAAUGGGAUUCUUUUCUAUCCAAAUUUCUCAAAAUAGCUCAGGGAUCCAGGGCAUUAAACAUCAAAGUAUCGAUGCAUAAAGCUAAAUUAGCAAGUUUAAAAGAAAAAGGUAUGAAUUACAAAAAAAACACAGAAGAACCUGCAAGAGUUUGUAGACUGGUGGCUAACUGGCCAUUGCAUCUGGGGUCAGCUAAUUGAGAAGACAAGACCACCGGAUUAUCAGCCCCAUUUCAUCAGGCUUCUCAAGUUGAUGACGAAUUUCUGAUGAUCUUCGUCCUCCACUCAAAUUAGUUAAGAAC